GACGAACGCUGGCGGCGUGCUUAACACAUGCAAGUCGAACGGAAAGGCCCUGCUUUUGUGGGGUGCUCGAGUGGCGAACGGGUGAGUAACACGUGAGUAACCUGCCCUUGACUUUGGGAUAACUUCAGGAAACUGGGGCUAAUACCGGAUAGGAGCUCCUGCUGCAUGGUGGGGGUUGGAAAGUUUCGGCGGUUGGGGAUGGACUCGCGGCUUAUCAGCUUGUUGGUGGGGUAGUGGCUUACCAAGGCUUUGACGGGUAGCCGGCCUGAGAGGGUGACCGGCGACAUUGGGACUGAGAUACGGCCCAGACUCCUACGGGAGGCAGCAGGGGGGAAUAUUGCACAAUGGGCGGAAGCCGGAUGCAGCAACGCCGCGUGCGGGAUGACGGCCUUCGGGUUGUAAACAGCUUUCGCCUGUGACGAAGCGUGAGUGACGGUAAUGGGUAAAGAAGCACCGGCUAACUACGU
rnacentral:rRNA from 1 species